UAGGGAAUAUUAGAAAUGGCCGAAAGUCUGACCUAGCAACACCGCGUGUGCGAAGAAGGCCUUCGGGUCGUAAAGCACUUUUUGGAAGGAAUAGGAAGGAAUGUACUUCCAGAAUAAGUCUCGGCUAACUACGUGCCAGCAGCCGCGGUAACACGUAGGAGGCGAACGUUAUCCGGAUUUACUGGGCGUAAAGCGCGUGUAGGUGGUACUGUAAGUAGGGCGUGAAAGCUCCUGGCUCAACUGGGAGAGGCCGUUCUAAACUACAGAACUAGAGGAUGGUAGAGGGAGGUGGAAUUCCAGGUGUAGCGGUGGAAUGCGCAGAUAUCUGGAGGAACACCGGUGGCGAAGGCGGCCUCCUGGACCAUUCCUGACACUCAGACGCGAAAGCUAGGGUAGCAAACGG
rnacentral:rRNA from 1 species